rnacentral:rRNA from 1 species
GGAAGGAUCAUUGAAUCUUUUCAUAAACAUUAACAAACCUUUACACAUGUGAAAGAUUUCUUACGUCCAGGAGGAGUAUACACAUUGUUAAAACAGUGAAGAUAAUAAUAAACUUAUAUGAACAAUAUCAUAAUUUAAUAUUGUUCAUACAGGUAUAUUAUUGUGUGUUGUCAUUGUUUUAACAAUGUGAAUACUCCUCUUGUUUUUUACUAACCAUAAACAACCAACACCAAACCAAACCUAAAAAAUACUUAUCUUUGGAGUUUUACAGCUCAAGGAGCUGUAACUCUCACCUAACCAAGAUAACUCUCAACAACGGAUAUCUUGGCUCUCAGAUCGAUGAAGAACGCAGCGAAAUGCGAUACGUAGUGUGAAUUGCAGAAAUACGUGAAUCAUCGAAUCUUUGAACGCAAAUUGCGCUCGAGGCUUCGGCCAAGAGCAUGUCUGCCUCAGCGUCGGGUUAUAAAUCUCUGUAAGAAAAUUCUCUCUGCACGUGUACGAAGUGUUUUUACGACAUGUAUGUAUGCACAGCAGAGUAUAGAGAAUUUUUUUUAUGAGGACCUGGCUGUCUCUGUGCGGUUGUAAUAAUGUGGAGUACACACUGGUGAUGUUUUUGUGUAUACAUAUAUGUGUGUGCAGUUGUUUUGUUGUUAAGUUGUACACAUACAUGUAUGUAUAUACUUGAAAAUCAUCAAGUACUCUGCAUUUUCCUCAUGUCACUGAGUCAGCUCAAGUAUGCAGCUGUUGAACUAUCAAUAAAUGAACCAUUUAAUAUGGGCCUCUACUGGGUAGGCACGACGACCUGUGCUUGCUGCAAAUCCCCGUUUGCUUUAGUAGAUGGCUUUUUGAUGGUUUGUUUUUAGUUUGGCAUCCAAAAAAAACAGGAUGGACAGGAUGGACAUGUGUGAGACAUAUAUAUGUUUUGCAUUUGUUUACUUCUUAUCCAUAAACAUAUUUUAUUUCUCGACCUGAGCUCAGGCAAGAU